AAAACUUUAAAAAAAGUUUCAAUUAAAUUUAAACAAUGUAUAUGUUUUCUUAUCAGUUUAAUCCCUGUUACGUCCCCUAUCAGGGGACGUGUAUAUGGCAUUGAUUUUAGGAACCGGGAGAUGGAAAAAGAUGCUUGGUCGGUACUCCUUCUUCAAAUUUGGGGCACUGCGCGUGCAAUCUAAUGUGCCAC